GAUACCUGAGCCCCUGAUACCCAGCCACUCAGCCAGUCCACCACCGCCACUGUCUCCACUCCACCAGACCACCACUGGGCCACCGUCGCCCUUCGCCGCUCCGCCACUGGUCCACUGUCGCCCUUUUGAAGGUUUCUGGAAACUCAUUCCAAAAGAAGUUGCUGGUGCUGCUUGGAACACCAUCUCAUUCCACUGAGAGCAUGGCUGUUUAAGGAACAACACUUUUUGUCAAUCUUCUUGAACUCUUUCCAGUUUUUUCCCUACCUUAUCAGGUUGGAGAAGUAAUGUAUUGGAGGAAAGUUAAUCUCAUUUUUAACAUUUAUAUUGUAU